UGCCGUGCGACGCGCACAUCCAUAAGCAGGAAGAAAAGGGGGGCGGAUCCAUUCAUUCCGCACGGUGGCCCAAGGGACAGCGGCAUCGCGGCACCGGCGUCCUCGCACGGCGUAGGCCGUGCGGACCCCUGAGGGUGGAGACGUCAAUGCGACGUCAUAUGGCACAGUACCCCAUGAUCUCAGUGGCGAGGAUGAGCAGCACCAAAGGCGCCGUGUUGAUGUAGUCGUGGAGAGGCAGCAGCUCAUCCAGGAGCGUCGCCGGAGGCAGCAGGAAGCCGCCGGCACAGCCUUGCGGCGGCCGGUGAUGGAAACGGCCUUCCCAUUGCUUCAGCACACCCCUAGAUCGACAGGGUUCGAGGGAAUAAAGGAGCUGGAUAUAAUUUACGUGAACUCCGCUCCAUAAGUAUCCAGGCCCCACCCUUUAUAUGUAUGCUGGCAAUAGGGGACCAAAACCAUCUGUUGGUUAGAGGUGCCCCCGAUCAGGGCGGUUCUGUUGGGGUCAACAA